CAAGCGAUGAGACGGUCCAAAUUUAAGUUAACAAAUCAAACCCGUAUAUACGGCUUUUAUCAUCCCAUCAACAGGAUAUGCGUGACCUGCCUCCCCUUCCCCAUACCCUAUUCAGAUCUGUAUCAGCUUUCUCAACAAGAGAAAGAAUGGUAAAAAUGAUAGACCCUUUUCUUCUCUUCUCUUUCUCUCUGGACUACCUCCAUCACCAAAUAGGAAACCUAACCCUAGACACUACUAUUUUCUUCAUUGUCAGUCAAAUAACAAAAAAAUGGCUCAAUUCAUCUGUAACAGUCAAGAACAAAAGGGAAAAGUGUAUUCCAUUUUGGAGAUUUAAAAUUCAAAAUCUCCCCCUCUUUUUUUCCCAUUUUUUUAUCUUUAGGUUUCAAAUCCGAACUUUGAAGUCCGGAUUUGCACCUAUAAAAGGGGUUGAAUAUCGGAGAUUAGGGAGAGGGAGGUUAGAGCUAAAAGUUCAUACUACAGUCACAAAAAAUUCACAAGUAAAGUGAAAAAAAUUUCUGGUUUCUUCCCUUAUUUUGGGUGUAAGUUCGAGUCUUGAAACUCAAGUUUUGGUGGCUGAAAUCUUCUUGACGUCGGAUCCAGGCCUGCUGCGCAACAUAAGGUUUAGAAGCAUGAGCACCAGAGCAUCAGUAGCAUCUCGGUUCAGCAGUCAGAGUCAGAGUCAGCUGUGAGUCCUCAUCCUUCAAGGACAUGAUAAUUACAUUAUUAUUUCAGUUUUUAGUUUAUUUCAAUAUUUCGGAGUUAGUUGGGGACAUGUCCCAUCAAUUCCAUAUUUUUCAGAUAGUUUAGAGCCUUUCAGACUAUAGCAUGUUUCAGAUAGUUUAUCUCAUCUUUGGGUAUUUUCAUACCCCAUUACAGUCAUUGUAUUAUAGUCAGUAUUAGUUCAUUUUUGAACCUUAUGGACUUACAACUUAUAUUCC